GACGAACGCUGGCGGCGUGCUUAACACAUGCAAGUCGAACGGAAAGGCCCUGCUUUUGUGGGGUGCUCGAGUGGCGAACGGGUGAGUAACACGUGAGUAACCUGCCCUUGACUUUGGGAUAACUUCAGGAAACUGGGGCUAAUACCGGAUAGGAGCUCCUGCUGCAUGGUGGGGGUUGGAAAGUUUCGGCGGUUGGGGAUGGACUGGCGGCUUAUCAGCUUGUUGGUGGGGUAGUGGCUUACCAAGGCUUGGACGGGUAGCCGGCCUGAGAGGGUGACCGGACAAAUUGGGACGGAGAUAAGGCCCAGACUCCUACGGGAGGCAGCAGUGGGGAAUAUUGCACAAGGGGCGGAAGCCUGAUGCAGCAACGCCGCGUGCGGGAUGACGGCCUUCGGGUUGUAAACCGCUUUCGCCUGUGACGAAGCGUGAGUGACGGUAAUGGGUAAAGAAGCACCGGCUAACUACGUG
rnacentral:rRNA from 1 species